CGUGCAGGAUGACGGCCCUCUGGGUUGUAAACUGCUUUUAUCUGGGACGAAAAAAGGGGAUUCUUCCUCACUUGACGGUACCAGAGGAAUAAGCACCGGCUAACUCCGUGCCAGCAGCCGCGGUAAUACGGAGGGUGCAAGCGUUAUCCGGAUUUACUGGGUUUAAAGGGUGCGUAGGUGGGUAGGUAAGUCAGUGGUGAAAUCUUCGAGCUUAACUCGGAAACUGCCAUUGAUACUAUUUAUCUUGAAUACUUUGGAGGUAAGCGGAAUAUGUCAUGUAGCGGUGAAAUGCUUAGAUAUGACAUAGAACACCAAUUGCGAAGGCAGCUUACUACACAGUUAUUGACACUGAGGCACGAAAGCGUGGGGAUCAAACAGGAUUAGAUACCCUGGUAGUCCACGCCCUAAACGAUGGAUACUCGACAUCAGCGAUACACUGUUGGUGUCUGAGCGAAAGCAUUAAGUAUCCCACCUGGGAAGUACGAUCGCAAGAUUGAAAC
rnacentral:rRNA from 1 species